UACAGAGGUCUCAAGCGUUGUUCGGAUUCAUUGGGCGUAAAGGGUGUGUAGGUGGCGCGCUAAGUCGGGUGUGAAAUUUCGGAGCUUAACUCCGAAACUGCAUUCGAUACUGGCGUGCUUGAGGACUGGAGAGGAGACUGGAAUUCAUGGUGUAGCAGUGAAAUGCGUAGAGAUCAUGAGGAAGACCAGUGUCGAAGGCGGGUCUCUGGACAGUUCCUGACACUGAGACACGAAUGCCAGGGUAGCAAACUUC
rnacentral:rRNA from 1 species